rnacentral:rRNA from 1 species
UACGUAGGUCCCGAGCGUUGUCCGGAUUUAUUGGGCGUAAAGCGAGCGCAGGUGGUUUAUUAAGUCUGGUGUAAAAGGCAGUGGCUCAACCAUUGUAUGCAUUGGAAACUGGUAGACUUGAGUGCAGGAGAGGAGAGUGGAAUUCCAUGUGUAGCGAUGAAAUGCGUAGAUAUAUGGAGGAACACCGGUGGCAAAAGCGGCUCUCUGGCCUGUAACUGACACUGAGGCUCGAAAGCGUGGGGAGCAAACAGG